GACAGAGGGUGCAAACGUUGUUCGGAAUUACUGGGCGUAAAGCGAGUGUAGGCGGUCUCGUAAGUCGGAUGUGAAAGCCCCGGGCUCAACCCGGGAAGUGCACUCGAUACUGCGAGACUUGAGUACCGGAGAGGUUGGUGGAAUUCUCGGUGUAGAGGUGAAAUUCGUAGAUAUCGAGAGGAACACCGGUGGCGAAGGCGGCCAACUGGACGAGUACUGACGCUGAGACUCGAAAGCGUGGGGAGCAAACAGG
rnacentral:rRNA from 1 species